CUCACUUAUCUUCUUUUGCAGGCCUGUUGGAGUGUGGGGGAAGAUCGUGGGGUCUCUGUGCGCGAUUGCCGGUGUGCUCACCAUCGCUCUGCCAGUGCCGGUCAUCGUGUCCAAC
rfam:Operophtera brumata OBRT01_Sc02132, whole genome shotgun sequence.